GGUCGGCUGGUGUAGUGGUUAUCACGUCUCGUUCACAAAGCUGAAUUAGCUGGAUUUAUUCCACCGAGAAGGUGCCAGGUUCGAUCCCUGGGUCGAUCA
rnacentral:tRNA from 1 species